rnacentral:rRNA from 1 species
AGCGAACGCUGGCGGCAGGCUUAACACAUGCCAGUCGAGCGGGCACUUUCGGGUGUCAGCGGCGGACGGGUGAGUAACGCGUGGGAACGUGCCCUCUGGUUCGGAAUAACUCAGGGAAACUUGAGCUAAUACCGGAUACGCCCUUUUGGGGAAAGGCUUGCUGCCGGAGGAUCGGCCCGCGUCUGAUUAGCUAGUUGGUGAGGUAACGGCUCACCAAGGCGACGAUCAGUAGCUGGUCUGAGAGGAUGAUCAGCCACACUGGGACUGAGACACGGCCCAGACUCCUACGGGAGGCAGGAGUGGGGAAUAUUGGACAAUGGGCGCAAGCCUGAUCCAGCCAUGCCGCGUGAGUGAUGAAGGCCUUAGGGUUGUAAAGCUCUUUUAUCCGGGACGAUAAUGACGGUACCGGAGGAAUAAGCCCCGGCUAACUUCGUG